rnacentral:rRNA from 1 species
GACGAACGCUGGCGGCGUGCCUAAUACAUGCAAGUAGAACGCUGAAGGAGGAGCUUGCUUCUCUGGAUGAGUUGCGAACGGGUGUGUAACGCGUAGGUAACCUGCCUGGUAGCGGGGGAUAACUAUUGGAAACGAUAGCUAAUACCGCAUAAGAGUAGAUGUUGCAUGACAUUUGCUUAAAAGGUGCAAUUGCAUCACUACCAGAUGGACCUGCGUUGUAUUAGCUAGUUGGUGGGGUAACGGCUCACCAAGGCGACGAUACAUAGCCGACCUGAGAGGGUGAUCGGCCACACUGGGACUGAGACACGGCCCAGACUCCUACGGGAGGCAGCAGUAGGGAAUCUUCGGCAAUGGACGGAAGUCUGACCGAGCAACGCCGCGUGAGUGAAGAAGGUUUUCGGAUCGUAAAGCUCUGUUGUAAGAGAAGAACGAGUGUGAGAGUGGAAAGUUCACACUGUGACGGUAUCUUACCAGAAAGGGACGGCUAACUACGUG